AACGUAGGAGACAAACGUUAUCCGGAUUUACUGGGUUUAAAGGGUGCGUAGGCGGGCAGGUAAGUCCGUGGUGAAAUCUCUGAGCUUAACUCAGAAACUGCCAUGGAUACUAUUUGUCUUGAAUAUUGUGGAGGUAAGCGGAAUAUGUCAUGUAGCGGUGAAAUGCUUAGAUAUGACAUAGAACACCAAUUGCGAAGGCAGCUUACUACACAGUUAUUGACGCUGAGGCACGAAAGCGUGGGGAUCAAACAGG
rnacentral:rRNA from 1 species